rnacentral:rRNA from 2 species
GAAUGCUGACAUAAGUAACGAUAAAGCGGGUGAAAAGCCCGCUCGCCGGAAGACCAAGGGUUCCUGUCCAACGUUAAUCGGGGCAGGGUGAGUCGACCCCUAAGGCGAGGCCGAAAGGCGUAGUCGAUGGGAAACGGGUUAAUAUUCCCGUACUUGGUGUUACUGCGAAGGGGGGACGGAGAAGGCUAUGUUGGCCGGGCGACGGUUGUCCCGGUUUAAGCGUGUAGGUGUGUGUUCCAGGUAAAUCCGGUUCACUUUAACACUGAGGCGUGACGACGAGGCACUACGGUGCUGAAGCAACAAAUGCCCUGCUUCCAGGAAAAGCCUCUAAGCAUCAGGUAACACGAAAUCGUACCCCAAACCGACACAGGUGGUCAGGUAGAGAAUACCAAGGCGCUUGAGAGAACUCGGGUGA